GCGGGAGCCCUAGCUCGUCCCCGGUAAGACGGCCGUGGCCUGUCAGCUGGAACGGACCUGCCGGAUGGAUCGCUCGUUGAGAGCGUACACACCCGCGUGCGCGACACCAGGCGGCCCGUAGGUUCCAGGUGCAGAGCGCGCUACCUCGUCAAUUUACCCAAGUGCCCUACCAGUACCAUAUUCUGUGUAUGCUGUGAUGUGAACGAGGUUUAUAAAUACAGGCUGGUCUAAUGGAGCCCAACGAGACCGCCAGAGGAUUAGUGCCUUGUCCAACAGUACUCGACUUGUUGGUAGAGCCCUAAUGACUCAGGGAUGCUCCAAGGGAAAGGUGCUGUGGAACUGUUUAUGGAUAUGGUUAUGGUUAGCUACACCUCUACUCCACGUGGUCCUCCCUCCAGGUCCCAGACUGAUGGAGCAGCCUCUGUCUGUUUGGAACAUUGUCAGUCAUAAUGGUGGACACAAAAGAGAUUAUGGCAAACCAUGUUUUGUCUCCUACAAUUUCUGCUCACUUCUCUCCACAUUUCAUUGACCAGAGCAAGUCAUGUGACCAAGCCUGAUUCAAAAUAGGCUGGAGCAAGGAGGAGCAGCAAACAUAACAUUCCCAGUUUACAGCUGAGGAAAUUAAGCUUCAAGUUGCCCAAGUGUAUAGAAUGAAUCAAUGGCAGAGGUUGAACUCAGCUCUAAGACAUUUGCCUCCCUUGAGCCAAAUCCUUGCCAAGGCCUAUAGGAAGGUAGGAGAAGGUGGGACCUUGACCUCUGUUGAGGACUCUGCUAUGAGAAGUUGGUCCACGACUUGCUCCCCCAUGGAUUAAGCAAACAAAUGAAGAACAGUGGUACUGGUGGCUUCUGAACCUCCUUAAUCCUGAAUAGAGUUUGGUUUUCACAGAUCUCUGGGAAGACACCUUCCUUCAACAAAGUUGGUAUAGCACCAUACGAGAGAGUCUUAGAUUUCAUUGACUCCCAAAAGUCCAAGAAGUUUAAUGGGGAUAAUGAGUAUUCCCUGCUCAUACUAGUUAUCUGUUGCCAUCUAAUGAAUUACAAUCCAAACCUUAGGGGCUUACUUAAAGCAACAAACAUUCAUUACAUCACAGUUUCUGUGUGUCAUAAUUUCAGGAGCUGCUUAGCUGAGAGGUUCUGGCUCAAAGUCUCCUGUGAAGUUGCAGUCAAGAUGUCUGCUGGGACCCCAGUCAUUUGAAGCCCUGUCCGGGGCAGGAGAAUCUAGGUCCAAAAUGGCUGUUGCAGGAGUCCUCAUGCACACCAUGUGGGGCCUCUUCAUAGAUGUUCGAAUGUCCUCAUGGCAUGGCCACUGGCUUUCCCCAAAGCAAGCAGUCCAAAAGAGAACAAUCAACAAAACAGUGAAAAAGCCCAGCCUUGUAGCACUUGCCAGUUAUUGUGUAAAUGUCCCCACCAUGGUGGAUUUCAAGUUACCACUAUGAGAUCACAGAAUGCAGAAUUGGAAAGAGAUUCACAGCAGCACCCCAUUACACUAUAUUUUCACCAUACAAAUGCAGUUGAUGUAAAUUAACUGAGGAGCAUAAAUAAUAAUAAAAUGAAGUUAAAUAAUUAGGAAAUGAUUUUGAAAAUUGUGUUGGUUUUUAAUAUAAGUAAGUUUAUGUGUCAGCUUUAAUAAAAUCUGUCUUUAACAACUAGCUUGAAGAAUUCUUGAAAAAUUAAUAAUCAGCUCUCAUAGGCUAGUGACAACUGGCUUCAGCACACCGCUGACUAGAAACACCUUUGCCUUCUACCACAUGCGGAAUUCCGAGUAUUUCAACAAUCAGAAUUGAGCUUCUGAGCAAACCAAGAAAAAUAGCAUCUUAUGUAAGAGACAGCAAUUUGAGAGAGGAAUAUCAGUCAGAAGAAACAAGGGGAAAGUAGAACUUGUAAAAGAGAGAUGAAAAUUUGAAUUUUUUAAAAAGGCAUCAUUAAGCAGAUUUAAGUACAACACAAAAAGUUAAAGAAUUUCGUAGAUAAAUAGGAUGAGAUGAUCACCACUGAGACACAGAUCAAUGAUCUGGAAGAUAAAAACAAAUCAUAAAAAUAAAAGUAUCUUGAAAUUUUGCAAAGUACAUCAUAAAUCAAUGCAUCAGGGAUUGUGUGUCAUGACAAAAAAUUUUAUAGAUACUCAGAAUUAUAUGUCACCGCUUACUAUGCAAAUAUUUUCUAUUUU